UACAGAGGGUGCAAGCGUUAAUCGGAAUGACUGGGCGUAAAGGGCACGUAGGCGGAUAGAUGUGUCAUAGGUGAAAUCCCCGGGCUCAACCUGGGAACUGCCUGUGAAACUGUGUAUCUAGAAUAUAGGAGAGGGAAGUGGAAUUUCCGGUGUAGCGGUGAAAUGCGUAGAUAUCGGAAAGAACACCAGUGGCGAAGGCGACUUCCUGGUCUAAUAUUGACGCUGAGGUGCGAAAGCGUGGGGAGCAAAC
rnacentral:rRNA from 2 species